GACGAACGCUGGCGGCGCGCUUAAUACAUGCAAGUCGAGCGAGAACCAGAGCUUCGGCUCUGGGGACAGCGGCGAACGGGUGAGUAACACGUGAGUAAUCUGCCCUCGGCACCGGGAUAGCCCGGGGAAACCCGGAUUAAUACGGGAUGGCCUCCCGAGCUUUGGGGCUCGUGAGAAAAGGUAGCUUGGGCCUCGGGCCGGGGGGGAGCUCGCGGCGGAUUAGCUUGUUGGUGGGGUAACGGCUCACCAAGCCGACGAUCCGUAGCUGGUCUGAGAGGACGAUCAGCCACACUGGGACUGAGACACGGCCCAGACUCCUACGGGAGGCAGCAGUAGGAAAUCUUGCGCAAUGGGCGAAAGCCUGACGCAGCGACGCCGCGUGCGGGAAGAAGGCCUUCGGGUUGUAAACCGCUUUCAGGAGGGACGAAGCCACUCGGGUUAAUAGCCCAGAGGGUGACGGUACCUCCAGAAGAAGCCCCGGCUAACUACGUGCCAGCCGCCGCAGUAAUAC
rnacentral:rRNA from 1 species